rnacentral:rRNA from 1 species
UUUUGUGGGGUGCUCGAGUGGCGAACGGGUGAGUAACACGUGAGUAACCUGCCCUUGACUUUGGGAUAACUUCAGGAAACUGGGGCUAAUACCGGAUAGGAGCUCCUGCUGCAUGGUGGGGGUUGGAAAGUUUCGGCGGUUGGGGAUGGACUCGCGGCUUAUCGGCUUGUUGGUGGGGUAGUGGCUUACCAAGGCUUUGACGGGUAGCCGGCCUGAGAGGGUGACCGGCCACAUUGGGACUGAGAUACGGCCCAG